rnacentral:misc_RNA from 1 species
AAUUCUCAAAACCCUUUUUCUUUUCGGGAAAGGGUUUUGGACUUGGAGGCAUUUGCCGGCUUCACGUCGAAGCCGGCUCCUCUUAAACGAAUUAGUGGGGUUCGCUUUGUCGAUCCUUGGCGUGAUAAGAUGUUUCUACGUCUUGGGUUUGGCACUGUUGCCCGCUUCUAACCGUCUCGUUUGACAACGAUGGUGCUCCGGUCGCCCGCCUCUUCGUAGGUCGGUCGGCUUGACCCACAACAAAA